AGACUGCUGCAAUCUGAUAAGUAAACUCACCUUAUUCCUAAUUUAGGUGUGCUGACACUAAAAUAGGAUGAUAUAGGAAAAUAAACAAUAGGAGAAUUGUUUGCUGAAUUUUAUUAUAGGACAGAAUGGACCAUUUUCUUUAAUGAGUUGAGGUAGUAUUUCAUUGUAUAAGAAAGACUACUCUUUAAAAUGGAUAGGACGUAUUCUGCUACUUAUUACAGAUGUAAAUCAGGAAAUGGUAUACUGACCUUAACAUCUUUUAGUCCUUAUAUAACUCGAAUAUGUCACUGCUUUAAAAUCUCUUCAGCUUAUCCAAUAUUUUUAACAUUACAAGGAAUUUUCUCCAACACUGCUAUAGCUGAAGAGACACAUGAUUGGAAAUAAAAAUCCAGCAAAAUACAAAAAAUGAAAACAAAUAAACUGCAUGCACAUGAAGCUUUGAAGGUGUUUUUAAAUCUGUGUGCAGAAGACCUUCUUAAAUUUUAUAAUAAUGUGGCAUACAUGGCUAUUCCACCUGGAGACCAAGCCUAAUGUCCAGUUUUCAUAUUACUUUAACUCUUGUAAGUAUUUCUGAUGAGCAGCUUUAGCCAACCAGACUCUCAAAGGAAAAGAUUAAAGCCUUUCUCCUAUUUCCAUGAGUUUUAAUUUUGUGGGAAGAGAAGUUAAAAUGGUUGAAACGGCAACAUGAAGAAUCACAUCUAGCUUGGGAGGGUGAUAACCAAGCAUAGAAAACUUUAGAUAUUGACAUGGUCUGACAUUACUUCUGUUUGAAUAUGGCUGAAUCAGAGGUUUCUGCACAAAGAGAAUCCAGGCUUUGAACAAAUUUCCUGGGCUUUCUGACAGCGAACAUUACAAUUGAGUGCUGCUAUCAGCCCUUUAAAAAAAGAACAGAAGAAAAAUGGCGUACAAGAGAAGUUCUUGUCCUAAUAAGGUUGGCAUAUGAACAUGCGUGUUGGAGGUGCCCAUUCAAAAUCCUGGAUUUUAUCUUAAUGAACAGAAGCACUCCACAACAGGCUUGAACUGUCUGAAGGUAAACACUACUAAUCAAACAUGCAAGUAUACAAAUAUAAAAUAUAUAAAAAGGCAGGGAAGAGAAUCUGGUAUCUUCCUUAAUGGACACUGUCUAUUUGAACCUCAAACAGCACCUGUCAGUUACUCAGCAUUUAAGCUCAGUAUUUAACCCAGAAUAGUAAAAAAAACAUGGACAAACAAAAAUCUUGGCAGAAAUCACAAGCUUUUGAAAUGAGAAUAAUUCAUAUCAACAAAUGCUUGUUGUGAAACAAAACUGAUGGCCAGCAGUCUUCAUGCUUUUUUCUUAUCUCUUUCCUGUUUUAAUGUCUACAUCAUAAUGAAGCUUCCUCUCAUAAAACCUCCUUCACUGCCUGCACCAACUCCAUGUCUUGCCUACUCAUUUAAUAUUGCACCAGUUUCUUUGGUAUGGACAUAUCAGAGAAUGUGCUAAUAACUUUUCUUGUACAGUCGUUGAAGUGAAACCUGGAACUCUUGGUUUGGUUUUGUUUUGUUUUGUUUUGUUUUGUUUGCUUGUUUUCCUUUUGGGAGUAAUGAUUGCUGUGCCCUCUUGGUCAAUCUUUUUUUUAUCCUUAAUGAUAUUCACCUCCUGCUUCAAAAGUUGUCAAGUUCUCCAAAUUGUCAGAGGCUACAAAAACAGUAGUGAGAGGAACAGCAUACUGCACAAACCUAAGUUUUGUAGCAGUAUUUAUCCAGUAGUUGCAUUUUCUACUGUGUUUUUGUUACUAGCCUGCAAUCUCCAAUUUCUGUUUGACCAAGCCAGGCUCCAGAUGCAGCUUCAGAUUAAAGUGUUUCUCUCUGCUGAGUCUAUGCUGAUUACUCUGAUCUCCAUCAUACCAGAAUUCUGAAGGCUGAAUCACAGGGGAGUAUUAAGAGGAAUAAAAACAGCCAACUUACGAUCUCCUUGGCAACGCACAGGACCCACAGAUAUCUUCGCUUCAGACCCAGGCCGGUCAACAUCUCCAACCACUAUCUGACUCACUGAUCAUUUGCCUUUCUUCCUCGGCCCUUUACAGAGAUCAUUAACUGGCUGUGGCUGAACACAGAUAGCAAGUGUCACGAAGACACAUUGGCAAGGCUGCUACCAAGGUUGGAAUAUCCUUUGCAAAUGUUUCAUUAUCAUCAAUUUGGAGACAAGAGAUAUAAGAAGAGGGAGAUUAAAAUGAUUUCCCUUAUAAGAAAGAAAAGGGUGAAUAACAAAGCCAGGUAUCCUAAUCUUCUAUCUUUCCUAAAGGCAAAGGACGCACUCCCUUCUAAUGGAGGAUACAUUUAGGUCAUCACUUUACUCUGUGUGAUAGUUUCCUCUGAUAUUGGCUUCCUCUGCUGCUUGCUCCUCUUUCAAAGAAUGCUUUAAAGAUGAGCAUAACUAUUUGAGACAAAGGAUUCUUCAGAGAGUGGUAAAAAGAAAUCUAUUGGCAUUCCUUUUCUCUGUCUCUCUCACAGAUCUAGUAUCUCCACUGCAAAAAAGGAUGUCAAAAGGUAGUCCUUUAAUUGCCACCGUUAGCACUUACCUCUUUUGAAGGAAAUAGAGUCAUUCUCUUCUCUACAGAUCAUGUUUCUAUUCAUUUUAUUAGUUUAUUUAUGUAUUUAGUUUAUUUAUGUAUUUAAUGAUGUGGUCAAUUUAAAGCUAUUGCCGUGAAAAUAAAUAUUACAGCUGUUUUCAGGAA